UUUCUGCAGGAAGUCAGACAGCGUGAAGAAAUGACCAACAGGUUUAUCUCGUCGGUCUCAGCCGUCUGCAUACCUGCUGAUCAUAACUGUCCCGUCCAGUCUGCAGCUGCUGCUAACUGAUGGAAGGAGUGCGUGUGGACACGUGUUGAGUGUCGAGCAGCGAGGUGGCCGAGAGCCCCGCGGCGCCGCUGUCUUUCCCCGGCUCAGCGAACGGGAACACUUCUCUAGUCAGGCGUGUGACGAGGCACGGCAUCUCUUUCUUGCCAGCGAAAUUCCCGCCUUUGGCCUGGAAGCUGUAGGCCACCCGGUGGGAGAGGCGGGUCAUCAGGCGCGUCAGCUCCAGGUUACGGUUGCCGUCCUCCUUUAAUAAAGUGCAGAACGUCUGGAGGAAGACGGAUCCGAGUGGGUGCAUGAACGCCCCGUAACCUGAGGAGAGGACGGAGGGAAGAAACAGAGGAAAAGAGAGGAGGAUUGAGAGAAACAGCUGGUAGAUCUCGUCCCCGCUCAGGUCACUGUGGAUGUCCACCUUGAAGCCCAGCUUGCUCAGGGUGCGGUGGAGAGUCUUGGUGUCCUUGUCGGCUCCAGGCCUCCUCCCCAGACCCACACCGGGGACAAACUGGGCCACAGACACCAGCACUGCCCGGUUAAACUCCCCGCUGUCAUCCACCUGGCCUCUCCACCGCUGCAUCCUUCUUCUGCUGCUCACUGGGUGAAAGAUAGUCUCUGUGUGUCCGUUUUGUGUCUCUGACAGACGUUGUGUGUCUCUCUCUGUCUCUCUCUGUCUCUGUGUGUCUCUGUGUGUCUCUGUGUCUGCAGAUCAAACCCUCCCAGCACAGCAGUAAACCUGCUGACACACCUGUAUGACCGUAUAUGGGGUUCCCUCUGCUGCCUGUUGAAGGAUCACGUGCGUUUACAUCUCACAGCGUUACGUAACUUCGUCGUUUUCCUUCGGUGCUGGGAAACCACACUGCAAUCUCUCUCAGAAAGAUGGGUGUCUGGCAUUAUGCAGUGGAUGAAUAAGUCAUUCAGAGUGAAGCAUGGUGAUGAAUCCUUGGCUGUACGUUAUGAGAAGACGUAGAAAAAACACUGGCUGCAGAGAGAAGAACAACAGUAUUCUGUAUUCCUCUGUGAUUAAAAAUGUUUUUGGGAGGACUCUGACGCCCAGACACACUAAAUACAGGUUGCAGAGCGAGAACAGACAUAAACCUGUCAGGAGAAGUGGAGUUACCCAUCAAGUCACACGGCUGCAGAGACAACAGUCAUCGCUUUGUCUGAAACCCUGGAAUGAAGACAGGAAGAAAAGACUUUGUUCAUGUUAGUUUAUUCAUCGUGUAAAGCUUCAGUUUGUUCACACAUCCCAUCAGUAAAGUCUGUUCAAAGACUCUUGUUCAAUGAUUUCAUCAACAGAU